rfam:Brenneria goodwinii strain OBR1 genome assembly, contig: Contig
GUGAACCGAUACCGGAGGGGGAUCAGGACGAUCCGGGGGGAUAACCCGCGCAAGCGGGCGGCUGCUCAGAGAGCACAACCGAAGCCCCGCAAUACCUCAACGGCUGCCGCCCCGGCGCUCAGGUAUCGUUCG